rnacentral:rRNA from 1 species
AGGACACCGCUUGGUGGGCAGUUUGGGUGGGGCGCCACGCGCCCGAAAACCUAACAGGCGUGCCCAAAGGUCAGCUUAGGUGGUUCAGUCUCCACCGUAAACCGUAAGGGGAAAAGCUGGCUUGACGUGGAUCGGAUCAAUAACGAUCGACGAUGCGAAAGCAGGGCCUAACGAACCAAUGUGCCUCAUUUCUGGGGGCCAUUGAUAACAGAAAAGUUACCUCGGGGAUAAUUGAGUUGUCACCAGCAAGAGCACAUAUCGACCUGGUGGCUUGCUACUUCGAUGUCGUCUCUUCCCAACCUCCUGGUGCAGCAGCUGGGAAGGGUGGGGUUGUUCGCCCAUUAAAGGGGAUCGUGAGAUGGGUUUAGACCGUCGUGAGACAGGUUUGUUGCUUUGUGGUUGAGGCGUAUCAGGUGCCUGAUCGGAAGGGCCCUUUAGUACGAGAGGAACGAGGGCUCGGAGCCACUAGUUUACCAGUUGUCCGGCAGGGCAACGCUGGGUAGCCACGCUCCAGCGGAUAAGAGCUGAAAGCAUCUAAGCUCGAAGUCGCCCGAAAGACGAGGCACCUCAGGGGACUCGUAAAAGACGAGUUUGAUAGACAGCGGGUGUAAGGACCGAGGUUCGCCGAGGUCUUCAGCCCAGCUGCACUAACCCCCCGAGCAUCCAAA